rnacentral:rRNA from 1 species
CAGCCAUGCCGCGUGUGUGAAGAAGGCCUUAUGGUUGUAAAGCACUUUAAGCGAGGAGGAGGCUACUGAGACUAAUACUCUUGGAUAGUGGACGUUACUCGCAGAAUAAGCACCGGCUAACUCUGUGCCAGCAGCCGCGGUAAUACAGAGGGUGCAAGCGUUAAUCGGAUUUACUGGGCGUAGAGCGUGCGUAGGCGGCUUUUUAAGUCGGAUGUGAAAUCCCCGAGCUUAACUUGGGAAUUGCAUUCGAUACUGGGAAGCUAGAGUAUGGGAGAGGAUGGUAGAAUUCCAGGUGUAGCGGUGAAAUGCGUAGAGAUCUGGAGGAAUACCGAUGGCGAAGGCAGCCAUCUGGCCUAAUACUGACUCUGAAGCACGAACGUAUGGGGAGCAAACAGGAAUAUACACCCUGGGAGCCCAUGCCGUACACGAUGUGUUCUAGGCUAUGGGGCCUUUGACCCUUUAGGGGGGCACUUAACGCGAUAAGUAUCCCGCCGGGGAAGAACGGCGGCAGAACUAAAACUCAAAUAAAUUGAGGGGGGCCCGAACAAGCGGUGGAGCAGGUGGUUAAUUUCAAUGAAACGCGAAAACCCUAACCUGGCCUUGACAUACUAGAAACUUUCCAAAAAUGGAUUUGUCCCCUUCGGGAAUCAAGAUACAGGUGCUGCAUGUCUCUCGUCAACAAAA